UUUUGAUGAGGUUUUAGGAAUUUGACAAACCAUAUUUGUUUGACUUUGACUCUUGUUGUUGGGCUUUGGUCAAGGUUGAUUUGACUUUGUCAAGUUAAUGUUAUUGGAUUUAGGGGAUUGAUGGAAUGUACAUUCCAUCUCCCAAAAUGAAUGGAUGAUAUUAAUUUGGUAAAAGUCCUCCUUUGAUCAAUUUGAGUUUUC
rnacentral:lncRNA from 1 species